UGCUAAAUUGUGUACAGAAAAUGUGGAAAUUGAUGUGAUGAGUUUUAAUUGGGGUUGUUGAUGUAAAUACAGGAGGCUCAUUCCAAUUAAAACCCACCAAAUGGCAUUAUGUACAAAAUUUAUAAUAAAAAAAGACAUAUUUAUAAUAUACUAAUUUCAUUUGGCCAAAGUAAAGACCGGGCAAGUAAAAGUCUACCAUUUGGUACCCCGCGUCUGUCUAUGAUGGAUUCUUUGAAUAUUUCUAUCUAGACCAAGAAAUCAUUUGCGGAGAACCAAGUUCACUGAAAUCAUUUGCUGAGAACCAAGUUCCCUGAAAUCAUUUGCUCAUAAUUUCAGUGACAACAGCAACCCAUGCAGAGGAAGCUCUAAGCAUGCUUAGCAACAACUCUUAUGACCUGGUUCGAGCUGAGGUGCAUAUGCGGCACAUGAAUGGUUUGCAACUGCUAGAACACAUAAACAGAGAUUUUAGCUUGUCUGUCAUUUGUAAGUCCCUAUAUUACUAAAUAUAUGUAGUACACAUUUAGGGGUGCAUUUUAUAUCUAUUGGAUUAAGUUGGUAAGCAGUAGAGUAUUAACAUAUAUAGAACUUGUGGGAAGCAGUAAUGUCAGCCGAUGAAACAGAUAUGUACAUGGCAUUGAAGAACAGGGCACAAUACUUCUUGUUGAAGCCAAUACUCGCUGAUGACUUGAGCUCUGUAUGGCAGUAUUGUGAGUUGUGGAGAAGCAAAAGAAACAAUAUUGUCCCUCGUGUAACACAAAUCACUGGAACCUCUCAAGCAAUGGUGCGUAGUAGGAACCGUAAUGAUAAUAGUAAUAAUAAUGUCGGAGGGAUGUCAAUUUGUGAUGC
rnacentral:lncRNA from 1 species